GGAAACAGUGGGAUGGGCGGCCUGGAAGAAGAGGGCGGGAGCCUGGGGAGGCUGGGAGGAGGCGGUCGGCCCGCAGGGAGGAGUUGGCCCCUCAUGCCACUCAGCAUUCUCAGGGCUCCAGGUGAGGAGCCGUGGGGGUCUCAGUGUUCUCAGGUGAGGAGCCGUGGGGGUCUCAGUGUUCUCAGGACCCAGGUGAGGAGCCGUGGGGGUCUCAGUGUUCUCAGGUGAGGAGCCGUGGGGGUCUCAGUGUUCUCAGGACCCAGGUGAGGAGCCGUGGGGGUCUCAGUGUUCUCAGGUGAGGAGCCGUGGGGGUCUCAGUGUUCUCAGGACCCAGGUGAGGAGCCGUGGGGGUCUCAGCUGUACGGCGGGGCUGUUGAAGAGCCUCUGCGUUUUUACUUGAUGUAUCUUGGAAAUGCCGUUUUGUAAAAUGGUUCAC